rnacentral:tRNA from 1 species
UGGUGUAGUGGUUAAGCACUAUGGCUGCUAACCAAAAUGUCGGCAGUUCAAAUCUGCC